UUACUACUCCCUCCGUCCGGAAAAGUUUAUCUUUCAAAUGGAUGUAUCUACCACUAACUUGGUGCUAGAUACAUCCAUUUGAGGGACAAUCUUUUUCGGACGGAGGGAGUACUUA
rfam:Triticum urartu cultivar G1812 contig687772, whole genome shotgun sequence.